rnacentral:rRNA from 1 species
UACGUAGGGGGCAAGCGUUAUCCGGAUUUACUGGGUGUAAAGGGGGCGCAGACGGCGAUGCAAGCCAGGAGUGAAAGCCCGGGGCCCAACCCCGGGACUGCUCUUAGAACUGCGUGGCUGGAGUGCAGGAGGGGCAGGCGGAAUUCCUGGUGUAGCGGUGAAAUGCGUAGAUAUCAGGAGGAACACCGGUGGCGAAGGCGGCCUGCUGGACUGCAACUGACGUUGAGGCCCGAAAGCGUGGGGAGCAAACAGG